AGUGAACGCUGGCGAUAGGCCUAACACAUGCAAGUCGAACGGCAGCACAGUAAGAGCUUGCUCUUACGGGUGGCGAGUGGCGGACGGGUGAGGAAUACAUCGGAAUCUACUUUUUCGUGGGGGAUAACGUAGGGAAACUUACGCUAAUACCGCAUACGACCUACGGGUGAAAGCAGGGGAUCUUCGGACCUUGCGCGAUUGAAUGAGCCGAUGUCGGAUUAGCUAGUUGGCGGGGUAAAGGCCCACCAAGGCGACGAUCCGUAGCUGGUCUGAGAGGAUGAUCAGCCACACUGGAACUGAGACACGGUCCAGACUCCUACGGGGGGCAGCAGUGGGGAAUAUUGGACAAUGGGCGCAAGCCUGAUCCAGCCAUACCGCGUGGGUGAAGAAGGCCUUCGGGUUGUAAAGCCCUUUUGUUGGGAAAGAAAAGCAGCAGGUUAAUACCCCGCUGUUCUGACGGUACCCAAAGAAUAAGCACCGGCUAACUUCGUG
rnacentral:rRNA from 1 species